GAUGAACGCUAGCGACAGGCUUAACACAUGCAAGUCGAGGGGCAGCACAGUUAGCACUAGCGGGUGGCGACCGGCGCACGGGUGAGUAACGCGUAUGCAACUUACCUCUCAGAGGGGGAUAACUCGGCGAAAGUCGGUCUAAUACCGCAUGAAGCAGGGGUCCCGCAUGGGGAUAUUUGCUAAAGAUUCAUCGCUGAUAGAUACGCAUGCGUUCCAUUUGGCAGGUGGCGGGGUAACGGCCCACCAAUCCGACGAUGGAAAGGGGUUCUGAGGGUGAGGUCCCGCGCAGUGGGACGGACACACUGGCCAAGCGCCAACGGGAGGCAGCAGUGGGGAAUAUGGGGCAGUGGACGAGACGCUAAACCAGCCAAGUCGCGUGAGGGAUGACGGUUCUGUGGAUCGUGACCCUCUGUUGUAAGCGCAUAUAGCGCGGGACGUGUCCCUUUUUGAAGGUACCUUAUGAAUAAGGAUCGGCUAACUACGUG
rnacentral:rRNA from 1 species